GAUGAACGCUGGCGGCGUGCCUAAUACAUGCAAGUCGAGCGGACGGACGAGAAGCUUGCUUCGCUGAUGUUAGCGGCGGACGGGUGAGUAACGCGUGGAUACCCUACCUAUAAGACUGGGAUAACUUCGGGAAACCGUAGCUAAUCCCGGAUAAUAUUUUGAACCGCAUGGUUCAAAAGUGAAAGACGGUCUUGCUGUCACUUAUAGAUGGAUACGGGCUGCAUUAGCUAGUUGGUAAGGUCACGGCUUACCAAGGCAACGAUGCAUAGCCGACCUGAGAGGCGGGUCGGCCACAUGGGAACUGAGACACGGUCCAUACGCCUACGGGAGGCAGCAGUAGGGAAUCUUACGCAACGGGCGAAAGCCUGACGGAGCAACGCCGCGUGAGAGAUGAAGGUCUUCGGAGCGUAAUACUCUGUUACUAGUGAAGAACAGAUGUGGAAGUAACUGUGCACAUCGUGACGGUACCUAAUCAGAAAGCCACGGCUAACUACGUG
rnacentral:rRNA from 1 species